rnacentral:rRNA from 1 species
UUCUAGCGUAUAUUAUUGAUGUUGCAGUUAAAACGUUCGUAGUCAACCUUUGUCCAACAAUAUUGGUGAAGCUUUUGGCAUCACCAAUUGUCGUAGGAUAUCGUGAAGUAGCAAUGAUUAUCAUUGUUUUCUUCACCUUUACUUUGAGUGAAUCGGCGUGUUCAACGCAGGCGAUUGCCAUGAACGAUUUACCAUAGAAUAAAGAUAUUGUAGCGUCGGUACUCCGUCCACGCGGUACUGAUGUUAAUAAUGAUGAGAACGGUUGAGGACAUUCAUAUUCAACUGCCAGAGGUGAAAUUCUUUGAUUAGUUGAGGAUGAACAAUGGCGAAAGCAUCUGUCCAGGACGUUUNUGUCGA